rnacentral:lncRNA from 1 species
UGGAGGCCCAGCAUAUAAUGCAGAGGUCUUAAGGCGUGUACUGUCUGGAGAAAGAGGGGCAAUAGCUGAUGCAUUAGUCAGUUUUCUCCUCUAACACUCCCAAUCUCAACUGGCUGCUCUCUCUUUGUCUGUGUGUGUGUGUGUGUGCCUCAACUGGCUGCUCUCUCUUUGUCUGGUCAGUUUUCUCCUCUAACACUCCCAAUCUCAACUGGCUGCUCUCUCUUUGUCUGUGUGUGUGUGUGUGUGCACGCGCACGCGUGAUCCUUUUGUAAGAAGAACAAAUGGACUUAUUAAAUUUAAUCUGAUAAUGAUUGGACAGAUCCUAAAUGCUGCAGCAGCGCUGUUGGUCAGUUGCAAAGUGAACACCUUGGCUGAGGGUGUAGCCCUGGCACGUGAAAU